UACGUAGGGUGCGAGCAUUGUCCGGAAUUAUUGGGCGUAAAGAGCUCGUAGGCGGCCUGUCGCGUCGGAUGUGAAAGCCCGGGGCUUAACCCCGGGUCUGCAUUCGAUACGGGCAGGCUAGAGUUCGGUAGGGGAGAUCGGAAUUCCUGGUGUAGCGGUGAAAUGCGCAGAUAUCAGGAGGAACACCGGUGGCGAAGGCGGAUCUCUGGGCCGAUACUGACGCUGAGGAGCGAAAGUGUGGGGAGCGAACAGG
rnacentral:rRNA from 1 species